rnacentral:rRNA from 1 species
GCUGUCUCCACCCGAGACUCAGUGAAAUUGAACUCGCUGUGAAGAUGCAGUGUACCCGCGGCAAGACGGAAAGACCCCGUGAACCUUUACUAUAGCUUGACACUGAACAUUGAGCCUUGAUGUGUAGGAUAGGUGGGAGGCUUUGAAGUGUGGACGCCAGUCUGCAUGGAGCCGACCUUGAAAUACCACCCUUUAAUGUUUGAUGUUCUAACGUGGACCCGUGAUCCGGGUUGCGGACAGUGUCUGGUGGGUAGUUUGACUGGGGCGGUCUCCUCCUAAAGAGUAACGGAGGAGCACGAAGGUUGGCUAAUCCUGGUCGGACAUCAGGAGGUUAGUGCAAUGGCAUAAGCCAGCUUGACUGCGAGCGUGACGGCGCGAGCAGGUGCGAAAGCAGGUCAUAGUGAUCCGGUGGUUCUGAAUGGAAGGGCCAUCGCUCAACGGAUAAAAGGUACUCCGGGGAUAACAGGCUGAUACCGCCCAAGAGUUCAUAUCGACGGCGGUGUUUGGCACCUCGAUGUCGGCUCAUCACAUCCUGGGGCUGAAGUAGGUCCCAAGGGUAUGGCUGUUCGCCAUUUAAAGUGGUACGCGAGCUGGGUUUAGAACGUCGUGAGACAGUUCGGUCCCUAUCUGCCGUGGGCGCUGGAGAACUGAGGGGGGCUGCUCCUAGUACGAGAGGACCGGAGUGGACGCAUCACUGGUGUUCGGGUUGUCAUGCCAAUGGCACU